UGGAUUUUUGUUUUUGCUUUUUCAAAGUGAAUUUAUAUUGUAUGGACGAAUAAAAUAAUUAUUAUUAGGGCUGUAAAAACACGCAUUUAUAAUGACAUCACUGUUAUUAAUCAAGUCCAUGCUAUUAGCAAAUGCAUUAAAAAAAUCUCACAAAAAGAAGAAAAGGAAAGUCAAGAAAUCACAUUGUAUCAAAAAAAUUGUUAAUCCAUGCAGAAUAUGCAGUGAAGAGAGCGGAGAAAUACCUAUAUUCAACAAUAUCAUUCAUCCAAACAUUCCUGAAGAUAUUAAAAACUUUUCAGGAAUUGCAUUAUACAAAAUGGAAAAUUAUUCAAAUCAUAUGUGCCAAAGUUGUCUAGACUUGCUCAAUGGCUGCAUUAUGUUCAGGGAACUGUGUCAGAGAAGUAACGCUAAAAUCACAGAACUCUAUGAAAAGAAAGAAUAUGGUAGAUAUGAAAGAGACAAGACUAUAAAUGGUGACAGUGAAGACUCCUACCAUGCCUCCACACCAACUUAUUCUGAAGACAAUUCAGAAGUAUGGGGUUGUUCCACAUGUAAUAAAGAGUUUGAUAAUAUGGCUGCAUAUAACAAGCAUGCAUCCAAAUGCUCUCUGCAAACUCAGUCACAAGUACCAAAGCCAUCAGGGGAGGUGACAAAAAAGAAGUUUCUAUGUGACACCUGUGGAAAAACUGCCUGUUCUAAUGCAAGUCUUUUGGUUCAUAUGGCCACUCACGAAAACGUGUUUCCCUUCAAAUGCGAGGAAUGCCCGUAUCAAGGCCGUACGAUGGACUUGCUGAAGGUUCACAAGAGGUCGCAUAUGGCCGAUAAGCCGUUCAAGUGCACGCAGUGUCCCAAAGCGACGACGACUUCUAGCAACCUCGCGAAACACAUGAGACACGUGCACAGCACUACGAGACCGUUUAAGUGUACUUAUUGCGAGAAGGCAUUUUCAUAUCAACACGACAUGAAGAGGCAUAUAAAAGAUAUCCACUUACGACAGGGAACAGUGGAGUGCGAUGUUUGUUUUAAGAAGUUUAAUACAAAAAAGAUAUUACAAGGACAUCGAUGGAAAAUCCAUAAAAUCAAAGGCGAAAGACAAGGGCGGCUGCCAUCGUACUUGCAGUGCCAAAUAGAAGUUCAUCCCAACGAGAACAACUUAAAUGACUGUGAACAAAUAUACUCAAGUAUGGAAACUGCUUAGCGAGUGAUUGGUUAAUACACAGAUGAACUACUUCUUACAUUACAACCCGAUCGAGUUAACUGCGCACCUGGCAGCCGUGACGUCACAUCGACGCUACGCACGUCCGUAAGUGCGAGGAAGAGUCGCACUCGCAUUUCAGCGCGGUGUGCAGUUAGUUCGAUCGGGUUGUGGAAGGUGCACUAUAAGCGUAAUGCUGUAUGUAUAUUAUAUGCCGCCCCUAGGCAUAAACAGUUCAAGGUUGUAUUGCUUUUGAUCUUCCCCGCGAUUGCUGCGGCCAUGAUUUGAAAAUAAACGAAGACAGGUUUAACGUGACUGAUACCUUUCAUAUUGGUGAUGUGUAUCCAACUGAUGCCCAUUACGAUGUGUAUGGGAAUCUAUUUUACGUGGAGUCUGGGCGAAACGACGAGGGAUUCUUUUUUAACAUCAACAUUAUCAGAUUUAAGAGUAAAUCAUCACAGAAAAUUAAAGGUUUACCAAAAGGGCUCAGCUACUCCAUUGCCGUGGACAAGAAAAACACCAAAGUGUACUUCGGAACUGGUAAAGGGAUUUACACCUACAGUUACGAAACCCACAGCGCAUCGCCCAUCACCAGCAGUGCUGUAAAACUGGACAUGAUAUUUGUUGAUAAAGACAGCAACAAAUACAUAACCGAACAUAAUAAUGGCCUCGAGGAAUUAUAUCGUCUUGACGGAGACAAGAAAACUCGACUACGUACCCCUGAAACGUUAAAUGAGCUUGCUAUUGAUGACAAGAACAACUUCUACUACAUAGCACAAGAAAGCCUCUGCGUAUUGAAAGUUAACGAAACGAGACCAGACUGCAUCAGCAGAGUGAAUUAUGACGGCAUCGCACAAAUAUCUGUACAUAAUGACCAUGUAUUCAUUGCCAGUAAGAAUCUUACUUAUUUCAACAUCAAUGUAAAAGAUCUCCGUAAUGCCGAUAACCUUCCAGGACAAGUGACGGCAAUAGCCUUUGAUAAUAAAGGAAAUUUUGUGCUUGGAAUCCGAGGGAAACUGUUAAAAUACGAAAAAAAUGAUGAAUGUAACAUCAGGGAAGACAAUGGAAAUAAGUCAUCUGAAACAGCUCAAGCGUAUCCUUAUUAACUAGAGGAAUUAAUGAUCAAGAUUAUCUAUUAUUAAACAAAUAUUGGAACAUCCUCUUUAUUAUUAAAAAUAAGUUAGUUUCUUAAAAGCCAAAUUCAAAUCACUACGCUAAUAAUGUGCCUAUUACCUUAGUACAUCUAAGUCUUAGAUAACACUAUAUUUUUGGGGAUCAAUAUUUUUCCAAUUUUAGAUAACCGGAUUUUUAGUUAUUAUUAUUAGUAAACAAUUGAAUUUAAAAACAUUGAAAUGUAUAAUUUUAAUAUUUAUUUGAUAAAGUUAUUUUUAACAACUUUUAAUGUUUUUCUAAUCAAGAAUAUAACUUACAGUAACACCAAAAAUUCUACUGUUACUUAAAUCUUAAAUACUAAAAUAUUUAUCCAACUUUCGCACUUGCGGCUCUCAACCUUUUCUUUUCUGAAGCAAAAAUACUAUAAUAAACUUUAGGGAAACUUUUUUUUUGGAAAUCAAAUAAAUAUUUAAAUCAAGUCCAUGUGUAAAUUUCGAUCUUGAUCUCUUCUGUACAAUUUCGGUAAUCUAUGG